GAUGAACGCUGGCGGCGUGCCUAAUACAUGCAAGUCGAGCGAACAGACGAGGAGCUUGCUCCUCUGACGUUAGCGGCGGACGGGUGAGCAACACGUGGAUAACCUACCUAUAAGACUGGGAUAACUUCGGGAAACCGGAGCUAAUACCGGAUAAUAUAUUGAACCGCAUGGUUCAAUAGUGAAAGACGGUUUUGCUGUCACUUAUAGAUGGAUCCGCGCCGCAUUAGCUAGUUGGUAAGGUAACGGCUUACCAAGGCAACGAUGCGUAGCCGACCUGAGAGGGUGAUCGGCCACACUGGAACUGAGACACGGUCCAGACUCCUACGGGAGGCAGCAGUAGGGAAUCUUCCGCAAUGGGCGAAAGCCUGACGGAGCAACGCCGCGUGAGUGAUGAAGGUCUUCGGAUCGUAAAACUCUGUUAUUGGGGAAGAACAAAUGUGUAAGUAACUAUGCACGUCUUGACGGUACCUAAUCAGAAAGCCACGGCUAACUACGUG
rnacentral:rRNA from 1 species